AUACGGAGGGUGCAAGCGUUGUUCGGAAUCACUGGGCGUAAAGGGCGCGCAGGCGGUCCUGCAAGUCAGAUGUGAAAGCCCACGGCUCAACCGUGGAAGUGCAUUUGAAACUGCAGGACUUGAGUAUCAGAGGGGAAAGUGGAAUUCCCGGUGUAGAGGUGAAAUUCGUAGAUAUCGGGAGGAAUACCGGUGGCGAAGGCGACUUUCUGGCUGAAUACUGACGCUGAGGCGCGAAAGCGUGGGGAGCAAACAGAAUUAGAAACCCCAGUAGUCC
rnacentral:rRNA from 1 species